rnacentral:rRNA from 1 species
ACUGAGUGAGGGCCGUCUGGGUCCGACGUCCCACCCGUGUUUAUUGUACGUUGUUGCUUCGGUGCGCCCGCCUCACGGCCGCCGGGGGGCUUCUGCCCCCGGGUCCGCGCGCACCGGAGACACCAUUGAACUCUGUCUGAAGAUUGCAGUCUGAGCAUAAACUAAAUAAGUUAAAACUUUCAACAACGGAUCUCUUGGUUCCGGCAUCGAUGAAGAACGCAGCGAAAUGCGAUAACUAAUGUGAAUUGCAGAAUUCAGUGAAUCAUCGAGUCUUUGAACGCACAUUGCGCCCCCUGGUAUUCCGGGGGGCAUGCCUGUCCGAGCGUCAUUGCUGCCCUCAAGCACGGCUUGUGUGUUGGGCUCCGUCCCCCCGGGGACGGGUCCGAAAGGCAGCGGCGGCACCGAGUCCGGUCCUCGAGCGUAUGGGGCUUUGUCACCCGCUCUGUAGGCCCGGCCGGCGCCAGCCGACAACCAAUCAUCCUUU